rnacentral:rRNA from 1 species
UGCUACCUACGGGAGGCAGCAGUAGGGGAUAUUGCACAAUGGGGGGAACCCUGAUGCAGCGACGCCGCGUGGGUGAAGGAGUGCUUCGGCAUGUAAAGCCCUAUCGGCAGGGAAGAAGCAAGACGGUACCUGACUAAGAAGCCCCGGCUAACUACGUGCCAGCAGCCGCGGUAAUACGUAGGGGGCAAGCGUUAUCCGGAUUUACUGGGUGUAAAGGGGGCGCAGACGGCGAUGCAAGCCAGGAGUGAAAGCCCGGGGCCCAACCCCGGGACUGCUCCUGG